UAGAUUUAUAGUGGUUAUCCAGCAGUGGUGAUACAGAUGAUGGAUCUUUUCAAACAUUAGCUGGGCAUAUAUAUCAUCACGGAUAGAUACUUGAUUACAUAUAAAACACAUGACCACAAAGGGAUGUUUAGCACAUAGAUUAUUACAAAAAUAUGAAGCCUAUACAUGUCUUAUUCUUCAGAGCAGGAACAAAAGGGUUAGGGCAUCAUUGGAACUAAACAUGGAGUAUACUGCAGAGGAAACAAAAAGUGGCUUCUCGAGGGGUCACACACGCAUUGUAGGUAAGACAGAUCCAACAAAGGUAAUUAGAAACGGUCUUUCAUAGUUUCCAGCCAUUGUUCUAACUUCAUACCUAUGAAGCGUAAUCUCUUUGCCAAUUCCUCAAUGCCUAUAAGGGCAUGUACAAUAGUAGCAGCACCUAGGUGCUGCCCCAGCUCAGCCACCUAUGGUCAAGGAAAUGAGGCUACCGAUUAGAUUUUUAUCAUCCAACGUUAAACGUGAAGCUACCCUUCUGUGGAACCCACCAUCAUCUUCUUUCCUUUCUGAUUCUCAUCUCUUUUUUCACCUCCUAGGACCAUCUCCAGCUUGCUUUCCCUCUACUUUUCCUCUCUCCCCACUUUCUCUUGGUUUCUCGCAUGGAGCAGCCGGCUCUUCUGCAAGCCACACCAGGACCUGCAGGGCUACCACUUUUUCUACAGCGUGGCAUCCGAACCUAGGUGGACAAUGGGGCAGCAGGUUUGAGGCAGCCCAUUGGCCUUGCCCUAAGUGAUGCUAUCAUAACUCCUUUGGUGUCACCCUGUCCUUUUAGGUGACGAACAGUUGUCGUGUUCUGCAGAAAACAAAAGGGCAGAAGUUGAUGUGACAUAACACAUAACACAUAACAUGUGAAUAAAGAUGACGUCCUUGUGGCACUCAAAGAAAUAGUGCUCAUAUGGUUAAAUACUUAAUCGUAUCCAACUCCCACCGUUCCUAAAUAUAAGUCCUUUUAGAGAUUUCAAUGCGGACUAUAUACAGAACAAAAUAAGUGAAUUUACAUUCUAAAAUAUGUCUAUAUAUAUCCGUAUGUAAUUUGUAUUGGAAUCUCUAAAAAGACUUCUCCUCAUCAAGAAGAUCACAUACACUUUAUCUAUCCUGUACAAUGAGCAUAGGACAAGCUCAGCUAGUGUAACUACCAAUUAGCUAUGUGAUGAACAGCUUAUAAGAAAAUUAACUUUGAUUAUGUGUCUUGCGCCAAGACUACUCCAGAAACAUGCAUGUUGAAUGAAAUGAACAAACAAAUAGCCAAAAGACCAUUGGCUAUCCUUGACUGGCUAGUUGACUAAAUGGCUCAGGAAAAUAAAUUGUCAUGACAUAUUAUAAGUAAUAAAAAGGCAAAAGGCCACAAUAUGUGGUACAUAAUGUUCACAGUCCAUCGGCUUCACCAAACACUAAAAAGGGGUAAGCAUAAAUACACCUCGCUAAUCCCAUGGAGGCACUUCUCACAUAAAAAGGCAAAUGAAUGAAAACAGACAGGUAUCUUGUUUUCCUAGACUUGCAUCCAUGGCGAAAUGACUAUAGAAAAAAGAUGUGUGCUAUAGAUUUGAAGAAAAUACGGGUUCGCCUGUGAGGAAUAUACUAAAAGUCUACAACAAUAAUCAUAGUGAGGUAAUCAAGAAAAUAGUGCAAAUGCCUAAAUCUGAUACGCUAUAGAACUCAUCCUUCCGUAUGUAGUUUUCCUAUCUUCCAUGUGGAAGAGAUUAAGGUAAAUACUAACAGUUCGAAUUUGUUUUAGAAUAUAGGAGAGGCAUAUAUAUAAGUAAACUAAAAGGAAAAACCUACACACACAUGGUGCAACACCAGUCAUGCUAUUUAUUUCAAGCAUCAAUGGUAAAUACUAACUUGCCAAACCUCAUAUGUUUACUAAUUAUGAUACUGAAGAAGAAGUUACUGAAGAACAAACUAAUCAUUCCAGUGCUACAGAAUCAUGAAAAGGAACUGUGAUGAAAACCGAAAGGAAAGACUUAAUUUAUUUUAUUUUAUAUAUAACCAUGGAAGAGCAGCAUUAUAAAUCAUAAGUUGUAGCUCCUAUAAAUCAUAAGUUCCCUCAUAUUGUAAAUAGCGCCCUUGUAUGGAUGGGGGAACUUACUAUCCCAAUGCCACAUAGAUAAUCACAGUAUGUGAACACUGACACAUGAUUGCUCUAGAUUUGAGAUCGUGGCACUCUGCACCUCCAUAUAAAAAUUACCAAUGGGCAAUGUGUGGGAAUUCUCAUGAACAUCAUCACCACUCACUGACCCACCUUCGAGCAUCUCUUAAGGAUUUUGGUGAUGAACCAUCUCAAGGAAAUUUGCAUUCAGGCUAGCAACUUCAAUCCAGUCGUAUGGUCCAACAAAACAAUUCUCUAGUCGGAGAAAAAAUAAGUAAAUAAAAAAUAAAAAACACUCUCUUUUCACCUAGAACUGAAGCUCAGGAAGUUUACUUCCCUUCCUAGCUUCCAACCCUGUCCCUCCUCAGACCUCUCUGAUCUAUACCUUUGUCAUGGAUGGAGCUACACUUGCUCAUGAAGAUGGGUGGAAGCUGGGAAGGGAACAAGAUUGGAGAGAAGACAGUAUCGAACCUAGGAGACAUUAUGCUAUGAGAACAAAUACGAGAAAAAACCAAAGCUCUCCUCUAGCUUGGUCAUGUUUACAUCAACAUAAAUCGUAACAUCAAAUUGCAGGAAUACACUUGACCGUGUGAGAUUAGUAUGAGGCUCAGGCUCCACAUAGUGAUACGAGAGAAUUAUCAUCCAACUUCAUCUAUACUAUGUGUAUAUGAUGACAGCAAGCAUGAGGCUAGCAGCAGGCUUCUAAAUUCUAACCACCGGUAAUAAAUCACCACAUAUGCCCAAAGCUCUAAGCAAAACAAGCCAAUUUGCAGGCAACAUCACACAUCACUUCUCGAGCUAUUUCCUAAGAAAUGCAUCAUAUCGUCAAAAUCACCCAACCAAGGUCGCUAACCCUACAAGCUUUGUCCAGAAUGCAGAAUUGAAGCAGGCAAUCACCUGACGAAACCUCAGAAGAGUGGGGGGUCGAGGCUCAAUGAAGCGGAGGAUGUAGCGGCUAAUAACAC
rnacentral:lncRNA from 1 species